GACGGAAGGUGCAAGCGUUGCUCGGAAUCACUGGGCGUAAAGGGUGCGUAGGCGGCUUGGUAAGUUGGGUGUGAAAGCCCCGGGCUCAGCCCGGGAAGGGCACUCGAAACUGCCGAGCUGGAGUGCCGGAGGGGAGAGUGGAAUUCCUGGUGUAGCGGUGAAAUGCGUAGAUAUCAGGAGGAAUACCGGUGGCGAAAGCGACUCUCUGGACGGCAACUGACGCUGAGGCACGAAAGCGUGGGGAGCAAACGGG
rnacentral:rRNA from 1 species